GCCUGUAAUCCCAGCACUUUGGGAGGCUGAGGCAGGUGGAUCACGAGGUCAGAAGAUUGAGACCAGCCUGGCCAACAUAGUGAAACCCCAUCUCUACUAAAAAUACAAAAAUUAGCCAAGCGUGGUGGUUGUGCCUGUAAUCCCAGCUACUCGGGAGACUGAGGCAGGAGAAUCACUUGAACCUGGGAGGCAGAGAUUGUAGCGAGCCAAGAUCGUGCCACCGCACUCCAGCCUGGGUGACAGAGCGGGACUCCACCUCAAACAAACGAACGAAACCAAAUCCUGAAACAAGGGAGAAAAAAGUGGAGGCGUCACUCUAGCUGGCGUGGGUAUUAAAGCCUCAUCCAUCGUGACAGUGUUGAGAAAGUGACGUGUGUGCAGCAGGGUAGACUCCCGAACCAACAGAACAGAACAGAAAACCCAGAAAGUGACCACCACAAACAUGCCCACCUGAUUUUUGACAAAGGCAUACAAACAAUUCAGUGGAGGAAGAGCAGCUUUUCAACAAAUGGUGCUGGAAGAAUCAGACAUCUAUCGGCCAAAAAAAAAAAAAAAAAAAAACAAAGGAACUUUGACCUAAGUCUCAUAACUUAAACAAAAAUUAACUCAAAACGUACCCAGAGUAGCCAAACCCAUAGGAACAGAAAGCAGAUCUGAGGCUGCCGGGGGGAAAUCCGUGUACGUUUUUUGCUCUUGCCGGUGACACGUGUGCUCCCGUCAUCUUAGGGCGACGAUUGUUUGGUGUUGCUCUGUGUGUGCUGUUUUCUAACCCUUGGUAGGUGUGGCACAUGUCACGCCAUUUUUCACUAGUAGCUAAAGAGAGAUUCAUCCUGUUUUAAUUUUCUAGUACUUGCCUUAUUUUUCUCUGACCACAUGUGUGAGGAACCAUGUCCCUCUGUGUGAGGACUUACGAGGAGCCUCUGCCUCCCCGUCACUGCCCUCCCAGGGAUACUUAUUUUUGUUGGCAUGUGGAGAAAACGAAGACUCGUCACUGGGUGCAGUGGUGCACGGCUGUGGGACAGCAAGGCAGGAGGAUUGCUUGAGCCCAGGAGUUUGAGACCAGCCCGGGCAAUAUGGUGUGUGAGACGUGUCUCCUUUCUCUCCGCCAAGAGUGAACGCCCUUUGACCAGGCCUUGCGGUGGUUCGGGGAGAGACGUCCAUGAGGCAAGUGUAUCCUGCGAGCCUGGCCCAUCACCCGACCUCUAGGCUUCACAAACUUCAGAUCUGAGCAACACGCAGUUUUGACCCUGUGGCUCCCUCUCCAAGUGACUUCUCCGGGUCCCGCAGAGCAGGCCCAGCAGAUCCCAGGCCAACCUGCGAGGACCCCGGCCUCCCACCCACAGGAGGGUUUUCCUGUGGUCCUAAGCGGCCUCCUUCCAGCACGGCAGGGAGACCUGGGCCUGCAGGGACUUGCCGGGAGAGCCCGGGGCCACCAGGGCCGUCCUGCGAUGGACAUAGCCUCAGGCCUGGCUCCAGCUUCUAGCAGAGU
rnacentral:lncRNA from 1 species